rnacentral:rRNA from 1 species
UACGUAGGGUGCAAGCGUUAAUCGGAAUUACUGGGCGUAAAGCGUGCGCAGGCGGUUUUGUAAGUUUGUCGUGAAAUCCCCGGGCUUAACCUGGGAACUGCAUUUGUGACUGCAUUGCUGGAGUGCGGCAGAGGGGGAUGGAAUUCCGCGUGUAGCAGUGAAAUGCGUAGAUAUGUGGAGGAACACCGAUGGCGAAGGCAGCCCCCUGGGCUAACACUGACGCUCAUGCACGAAAGCGUGGGGAGCAAACAGG